rnacentral:tRNA from 1 species
GCGAAAGUGGCGGAACUGGUAGACGCGCGAGAUUUAGGAUCUCGUGGGCUCGCCCGUGGGGGUUCGAGUCCCCCCUUUCGCA